rnacentral:rRNA from 1 species
AUUGAACGCUGGCGGCAUGCCUUACACAUGCAAGUCGAACGGCAGCACGGGAGCAAUCCUGGCGGCGAGUGGCGAACGGGUGAGUAAAGUAUCGGGACGUGCCCAGUCGUGGGGGAUAACGUAGCGAAAGUUACGCUAAUACCGCAUACGAUCUAUGGAUGAAAGCGGGGGAACGCAAGACCUCGCGCGAUUGGAGCGGCCGAUAUCAGAUUAGGAAGUUGGUGGGGUAAAGGCUCACCAAGCCGACGAUCUGUAGCUGGUCUGAGAGGACGACCAGCCACACUGGGACUGAGACACGGCCCAGACUCCUACGGGAGGCAGCAGUGGGGAAUUUUGGACAAUGGGCGCAAGCCUGAUCCAGCCAUGCCGCGUGCAGGAUGAAGGCCUUCGGGUUGUAAACUGCUUUUGUACGGAACGAAAAGGUUUGACUUAAUACGUUAGACUCAUGACGGUACCGUAAGAAUAAGCACCGGCUAACUACGUGCCAGCCGCCGCCGUAA